UUCAAUAUAAUCAUAAAGGUUUAAAGCAAGUUAGGCGGAUUGUGGAAGACUGCAUACAAAAUAAAAUGCAUCCUGUAUACCAUAUCAAGGUUCUUAUGAUGAAGAAAGAGCUUGAAAAGGAUCCAGCGCUUGCAAACGAAAACUGGGAUAGAUUUCUUCCAAAAUUCAAAAAGAAAAAUGUUCAGCAAAAGAAGGUCAAGACUAAAGAGAAGAAACCAUAUACACCUUUCCCUCCUCCACAACAACC